rnacentral:rRNA from 1 species
GUAGGUGGCAAGCGUUGUCCGGGAAUUAUUGGGCGUAAAGCGCGCGCAGGCGGUUCUUUAAGCCUGAUGUGAAAGCCCACGGGCUCAACCGUGGAGGGUCAUUGGAAACUGGAGAACUUGAGUACAGAAGAGGAAAGCGGAAUUCCACGUGUAGCGGUGAAAUGCGUAGAGAUGUGGAGGAACACCAGUGGCGAAGGCGGCUUUCUGGUCUGUAACUGACGCUGAGGCGCGAAAGCGUGGGGAGCAAACAGGAUUAGAUACCCUGGUAGUCCACGCCGUAAACGAUGAGUGCUAAGUGUUAGGGGGUUUCCGCCCCUUAGUGCUGCAGCUAACGCAUUAAGCACUCCGCCUGGGGAGUACGGCCGCAAAGGCUG